rnacentral:lncRNA from 1 species
CUUGUUGAAACCUGUAAUCUCGUCUUAUCUACCCAUAGAUUGAUUAAAAAUUGCUAACUAAAUCCGCUAAAAAUGAAUAUAAAAAAAUAGAGUUAAACCUAAGGGUUUUUUUGCAAUUUCCAAUGGUAUCUGACUUUGGCUUGUGAGAGUCAUGAAGAAAGGCAACUGCAGCUUAGAAUGUCUCGAAGUUUGAUUUAUCUCAGCAGUGACUGCGAGUGUGUAAGAGUAUUACCUCAUAAGCAAAUGAUCAAAUAGGUGGAGGUCCAAUGCAAGCUCGUUGAGGCUUCAAUGUUGCCCCAAAUCU